UGGGGGUCACAAUCAACGGCCAAAAUAUCUGUGGAAGUCAAGGUAAGAAUCCAGUGCGGAUUUAGAAUACACACGGAAUAAAAUACGAUUCUGCAUUGAUGCAAGAUAGAGAAUGUUGGAAAAUGAUCGUGCAGUCAGCCAAGACUCACCAAGCAUUGUAGAGCUGCAGAGAAGAAUAAGAAGAAGAAAGAAACAUCAUCUAUUCUGCUUCAUGGAUUCUAUUGAGAGCUGAUCAAAAAGAUUUUUUAUGCUGCUGAAUAAUCUCCAUUUAUUGACCAAGGAAUGACCAGUUACAAACUUCUACAUCUUUCGUAUCUUUUUUUGGGCUUUUUAUUGUCGUCAACAAUACACAUUAGGCUCUUAAUUAGAGGAUAUACCAAUGAUUAAUAGUGAUAUUUAAAACUGGUAAAUGCUGGAACAUACUGAUCUCAUCUAAUUAUUAUAUUUUAGUUAUUUCCUGUUGAUCUCGCAGACUUGUAAUUGUAGCGUAUAAUUUUAGGAUAGUUUGUGGUGGAAAUAUUCAUAAAGCGUACAAUUAUGUGCAUACAUGUGGCUUGGUACGUCAUUAGCGUUUCUUCAAUGGCACUUUCUUUUCCCGUUGUCUUUAACAAGAUUAAAGAACUGGCGUCAUCUAAAUGAGGAUUUAUAUUCCUUCCGAAAAAAACGAGCUUUACUUCAUAAAUAGUUAAUCAUAAUGGACUUGAAACGUAGCAUUAAUGGCCAUAAGUUAGGGUUGCUCUAAAGAGAUUUAUUUUGUUUGCUUAGCUCAUAGAUAAUUUACUUUUAUUUGCUGAUCUUUUGGGUUUUCGCAAAUGCUUUUUUAGAGUAUUAGAGCAUGAUUGAAUUUGUUAUUUCCUUAUGCAUGCGUAUACAUAUUCAUAAAUUUUCUUUGUAGAAGUAACCUUCAUUAGAACUCAAUAGCUUGUUUUCUAUUGUUAUAUUCUUAUUAAAAUUACAACAAUUUAUACGUUAUACGUGGUUUUGAUUAGUUUAUUUAAAUAGUAAAUAUAGGGUGUAGAUUCAGUUUAUUUACUGCAACAGAUAAUUACUGCAAACACCCGUGUUUAGCUAGUUGAUGGAAGGACGACCCAUACAAAUAUUUGCAACUAGAUAGUUGCUUACACAAACUGUCUCUGCUAAUUGCAAUUUUUUUUAAUGACCUAAUAUCAAAGUGGAGCAGUGCGGUGUUACAAUUAGUAAAUUGAGCAAGAAACAUAAUUUUGAUAUUUUCAUCUAAUGAUUAAUGCAAUUUUGCGAAGCGUGAUUACUUCAAAUUGGAAUAUUCAAUUAAGACAAAACAUUUAAUAUUGUCGAUGAUUUUGGUCUAAUAUUUGCUUAGUCUUGAAAAUGAUUUUUUUUAUUCUUUCCUGAGGAUUUUAUCUCGGAUUUAAUACCAAGGUCAGAUUCAAUUGGAAGAUCAGCUAAAACCAAUUUGGCAGUUAAUUUCAGUAUUUUUAAUUUUCACUGGUUUAGUAUAUUAAUUCAAUGGCCGAAUAACGCUUAUAUAACUGUUCGUCGGGAAAAGCCUUGUUUGCUCUAUGUACUUAAUUUCAUAUACAUAUCAACACAAAUAUUUGUCCAUGCCUUGUGACAACUAUAUCUGUACUCAUGCUAAAUGUAAUAACAUAAAGUAUACAACGUGACUCGGGAAGACUGUGCUAAUUUCUUUUUGUUAUUUUUUUAAACUUCUGAUCUAAAUGAUCCAUAUUAUGCACAUAAGUGUUUGACGUUUUGACAAACUUUCUAGUUUUUAAAUAUAAUGAACGUUUCUACUGUUAGAUUUAUGAACCAUUUUUGAAAUGUUCAUUAUUGCAUUCACAUCGGAUAAAGUGAAACCAUUUCAACAGUAAAGUUUGCAAAACAAACUAAAUAAUGUCUUCUCAUAAACUGCGAAGAACGGGUGUGAUUUUAACUUUCAAAUACAUUUUUCUCAACUCUUUGCUUUCAGUUUUA